AUUGAACGCUGGCGGCAGGCCUAACACAUGCAAGUCGAGCGGAUGAAGAGAGCUCGCUCUCUGAUUUAGCGGCGGACGGGUGAGUAAUGCCUAGGAAUCUGCCUGGUAGUGGGGGAUAACGUCCGGAAACGGGCGCUAAUACCGCAUACGUCCUACGGGAGAGAGCAGGGGACCUUCGGGCCUUGCGCUAUCAGAUGAGCCUAGGUCGGAUUAGCUAGUUGGUGAGGUAAUGGCUCACCAAGGCGACGAUCCGUAACUGGUCUGAGAGGAUGAGCAGUCACACUGGAACUGAGACACGGUCCAGACUCCUACGGGAGGCAGCAGUGGGGAAUAUUGGACAAUGGGCGAAAGCCUGAUCCAGCCAUGCCGCGUGUGUGAAGAAGGUCUUCGGAUUGUAAAGCACUUUAAGUUGGGAGGAAGGGCAGUAAGUUAAUACCUUGCUGUUUUGACGUUACCGACAGAAUAAGCACCGGCUAACUUCGUGCCAGCCGCCGCAGUAAAAC
rnacentral:rRNA from 1 species